rnacentral:rRNA from 1 species
UACGAAGGGGGCUAGCGUUGCUCGGAAUCACUGGGCGUAAAGGGUGCGUAGGCGGGUCUUUAAGUCAGGGGUGAAAUCCUGGAGCUCAACUCCAGAACUGCCUUUGAUACUGAGGAUCUUGAGUUCGGGAGAGGUGAGUGGAACUGCGAGUGUAGAGGUGAAAUUCGUAGAUAUUCGCAAGAACACCAGUGGCGAAGGCGGCUCACUGGCCCGGUACUGACGCUGAUGCGCGAAAGCCAGGGGAGCGAACGGG